UUUAAAUGGAUGCUAAACGAUUAAUUAGUUUCUUAUCAUGAUACUUUGUGCUUAUGAAUUUUUGCACAAUCUUAAACAUUUAUGUUUUAAACAAUUUCUUAUGAAUUGUCGUUUAGGAAUUUAAUUAUUUCAUUUUUUUCGUUGGAUGUUUGAAGCCAUCGAAAAUGACUAUACCAUUGGCAAUCAUAUUUCUUCCACCACCGUCGUCGCCCCCUUCUACCCUUCCGCCAAACAAUAUCCACCUCCUCUAACUGAUUCUUUUUAAUCCUGUAAAUUGCAGACAAUCGUUCUUUCCCUCUCUGUCUCACAUAAAAAACCCUUAAUUUCUCCUGUCUCGCUCUUCCUAUAUCACUGAAGAUAUGGUGAAACUUCAGCAGCUCUUUCAACUUUGUUAUUUGAUUGAUUGGAUUUGAGUAAAAAAUUGGCCUCAGGUAUGUUAUAACACAGUCGAUGAUUUAAUUUCAGUUCCGCCCUUUUUUGUAAUGAAGCACACCUUUGUCCAUUCUCCAUCUUCUUUUUUUUCGAUCCAUGAUUUUAUCGGAUUGGGGCUAAUCGGUUUCAAUCUGAAUCGAAACAAUCAAUAUCGUGUCGUCCCUCUAUCUACUUCUCUUUUGAUCCAGAAACCCCUUUCUCUAAUUGUUUAUGUGUGUGUACUGGUCCUGAAAUUGAUUGCUUCGAUACUUGUUUCCACUGCCUUAAUACUUAACCAUCGCUUUAGAUGUUUGUUUCUCGCUUAGUUCGUAGGUUCCCUGGUGAUGCCGCUUGCUUUGAAAAACUCAAUGAAUGCCUAUCUAAUGGUGGCAGGUGUCUCAUUGCUAUGGGAUUUGAUCUACUGGAGGCGCUGUCAUGGGUUCAGGUGAACCUUCGAUUUUCUUAAGGCCUAAACUCAAGAACACAUCACAUUGUGGUGAUCUGACCUCAAUUCCAUGUAAAUGUAUACAACAUAUAUUAAUUAUUUACCUGUUAUGCAUUGAAAAUUCUUCAAGUUACCGAAUUUAUGCUUGCUCAAAAGGGUUUGGUCCCUGGAAUGAUCUUAUUUUGCUUUGUGUUUUUUGUUCUAGAGUUGUAUAAUUUUCUUUGUUGGCGAAUAGGUAUCUUGGUAGAAUGGGCAGCAAAAGAUAGCUCCAACUCCAGAGGUGAAUUCCAAUUUCCACCUUCCUUUUCUAUGAAUUAUCAGUCUUGCUUAAGGAUAAUGGCAGCAGGAACAUAUAGAGUUCCUCAAUAUAUAUUUACAGUUUUCCUUUGGUGUGCAAUGAUGAGAUAUCGACAAAAUAGAGAAAGUCAACUGCUCGGUUGUAGUCAUACAUGGACGAUAACGUAACCAAAGAGCUGAUUUUUAGGAUAUGAUAUACAUUCCUGAAGUAGGAAAUGGGCGGGAAAAGAAAUGAGAAUAAAGGCAGGAGAAUGACACGUGGAUUGCUGGGGGUUUAAGGAGGGGACAAGUGGCAUUUAGGGGAGGCAGUUAUUAGGAAUGGAUAUUUAUUAUGUAUCGGUAUUUUAGGGGAACUUACUAAGCUUUAGACUUACAGUUUUGGAUUAUAUUUCAGCUACCUCAGAGGAUCGUGGGAAGGCAAAGAUGUGAUCGUGCACCUCCUCAUGUUUUUGUUUUAUAAUUUUGGGAUUUCUGCAAUGUGAAGCUUAUUUUGAAAACAA